rnacentral:misc_RNA from 1 species
GUAUUAUUGAUCGCGUGCGACCGCGAAAAUAAACAUUCUACACUGUAUCGAGUUUUGUGUAAAGACGCGGGCCCUCCGGCAAAGGGGGACCCACGCGGUGAUGCACAAGGGGUGAAAUGGAUGUGUGAGAGUGCUCAGGCGUGCACGACCUUUUGAAAGGUCAGCGACAGCCCUCGCACCCCCGUUGUAUGAUAAUGAUCCUUCCGCAGGUUCACCUACGGAAA